rnacentral:Y_RNA from 1 species
GGCUGCUCCAAGUGCAGCAGUGUUUACAACUAAUUGAUACAACAAGUUACAAAUUUCUUUGUUGCUUCUUCAUUCCCACUGCUUCACUUGGCUAGCCUUAA